GACGAACGCUGGCGGCGUGCUUAACACAUGCAAGUCGAGCGGUAAGACUCCUUCGGGAGUACACGAGCGGCGAACGGGUGAGUAACAAGUGAGCAAUCUGACCUUCACUUUGGGAUAACUUCUGGAAACGGAAGCUAGUACCGAAUACGACCACUUCAGGCAUCUGAUGGUGGUGGAAAGUUCCGGCGGUGAAGGAUGGGCUCGCGGCCUAUCAGCUUGUUGGUGAGGUCAUGGCUCACCAAGGCGUCGACGGGUAGCCGGCCUGAGAGGGUGACCGGCCACACUGGGACUGACACACGGCACAGACUCCUACGGGAGGCAGCAGUGGAGAAUAUUGGACAAUGGGCGAAAGCCUGAUCCAGCAACGCCGCGUGAGGGAUGACGGCCUUCGGGUUGUAAACCUCUUUCAGCGGGGACGAAGCGAAAGUGACGGUACCCGCAGAAGAAGCACCGGCCAACUACGUGCCAGCAGCCGCCGUAA
rnacentral:rRNA from 1 species